rnacentral:lncRNA from 1 species
CUCUCUGCUCUGGCAAGGCAGGCGAAGACCUGAGCCUUAUCUCCGGACCCCCUCACCCCCAAUCUCCCGCCGCGCUGCUCCGCACCUACCGCGCGGCCACCGGCCUUACCUGGCCGGGUCUCGGCGAGCGAGGCUGCGCCUGGUGCUUGCGUCCAGCGAACAAACCUGUCCUCCAGCCCCCAGCCCACAGCUCCGCUCUGCCCCUCCUCCCGCCGCGCGUGCCCGCCUCCUGGCUGCCAUGGCGACAGUUCCCACACCCUGCGGCCGCUGAUUGGUCCGGUUCGCGAUUGCUGACGACGCCGAUUGGCGGGAGCAGGGACAAGGCCGCGCCGGGGAGCCUGGAGGCGGGCGGUGGGGAGCGCCGAAGCUAUGGAGCCUUGGGGGAGGCUGAGCCAGGAGGGACGUGGCGCUCUGAGAUGCAGGCUCGGGAGGCCGCGCCUCUUCCUUCCCUAGCUUUCCCGGGGAAGCCUGUGGAGCAGGACUUGCGCGGGAGAUUUCUUGAUUUCCUUUGGCUCAGCUGAGAAACUCAAAAUGUGUUUGCUGGAAGACAGAAGAAAAUAAAAGUGAAACAACCCCAGAGAACCAGCUGACACGAACUCUGCCCCAUAUUGCAUCUCUUGGUACUUCUAGGGGAAAAAAAAUGGUUUGGAGGACAUUCUGGCUUUCUAAGACUUCAGUUCCCUUCUUACUUCCUCUUUUAGGAUCCUGCAGAACAUCAACUGGCCAAUUAGUUACAAAAUCAAAUUCUUCAUUGUGUUAAGAAAAGGGAAGAAGGGCUGAGUGCAGUGGCUCACGCCUGUAAUCCCAGCACUUUGGAAGUCCGAGGCGGGCAGAUCAGGAGUUCAAGACCAGCCUGGCCAACAUGGUGAAACCGCAUCUCUACUAAAAAUACAAAAAUUAGCCAGACGUGGUGGCAUAUGCCUGUAAUCCCAGCCACUCAGGAGGCUGAGGCAGGAGAAUCACUUGAAUGCAGAAGGCAGAAGUUGCAGUGAGCUGAAAUCACACCACUGCACUCCAGCUUGGGUGACAGAGUGAGAGUCCAUCUCAAAAAAAAAAAGGGAAGAGAGAGAAUACUUACUCCCAAGAGAUAGUAAGUAGUCAGAACUAGAAAACUCAGGGUAAACUUUUCCUGGGAGCUAAGACUUACUGUUGUUGUUGUUGUGUUGUUGUUUUUAUCAAGGUCAAGAUCAGGGAUCAGCAAACAAUGGCCCUUGGGUCAAAUCAACCCAUUACUUGCCAUUACUUGUUUUUAUUGACAGUCUUAUUAGAACACAGCAACUUUCAACAUCUGUCCGUCUUGUGUAUGUGUUAUCUAUCUUCUCAGGCUGUUUUUGUACUACAAUGGAAGAGUUAAAUAGUCGUGACAGAAACUGUAUGGCUCUUGGCCCCCUACAGAAAAAAAAAAAUUACAUCUGGACUAGAUAAUUCACCCAGGAUCAUAUUUUCAGUAUUCUCAGUGCAGAAAUUCUUUACCUUCAUCAAAUCCUGUAAUGCAUGGCUUCUCAAUCUUUAAUGUGCAUAUAAGUCACUUCGGCAACUUAUUAAAAUAUAAAUUCUAGCCAGAGGUCUGGUGUUGAACACCUGUAUUCCCAGCUACCUGGGAGGCUGAGGCAGGAUGAUCACUUGCUUGAGCCCAGAAUUUCAAGGUUACAGUGAGUUAUGAUCACACCAGUGCACUCCAGCCUGAGUGACAGAGACCGAGUGAGACACUGUCUCUAAAAAACAAAACAAAACAAAAUGUUUUAAAAUGUAACCGGGCAUGGUGGCUCAGGCAUGUAAUCCCAGAAUUUUGGGAGGCUGAGGUAGGUGGAUCUCUUGAGCCCAGGAGUUUGACACCAGCCUGAGCAAUAUGGCAAAACCCGUCCCUACUGAAAGUACAAAAAAUUAGCCAGGUGUGGUGGCAGACAUCUGUAGUCCCAGCUACUUGGGGGGCUAAGGUGGGAGAAUCACCUGAGCCUGGGAAGGCG